rnacentral:rRNA from 1 species
ACCGGCAGCUCAAGUGGUGGCCAUUUUUAUUGGGCCUAAAGCGUUCGUAGCCGGUUUGAUAAGUCUCUGGUGAAAUCCCGCAGCUUAACUGUGGGACUUGCUGGAGCUACUAUUAGACUUGAGGUCGGGAGAGGUUAGGGGUACUCCCAGGGUAGGGGUGAAACCCUAUAAUCGUGGGAGGACAACUUGAGGCGAAGGCGCCUAACUAGAACGACCCUGACGGUGAGUAACGAAAGCCAGGGGCGCGGACCA